rfam:Felis catus isolate Cinnamon breed Abyssinian chromosome B4, whole genome shotgun sequence.
GCCUGGGUGGCUCAGUUGGUUGAGCGCCCGACUUCCGCUCGGGUUGUGAUUUUGUAGGUCGUGGGUUCGAGCCCCGCGUCGGGCU